rnacentral:rRNA from 1 species
CAGUAGCCGCGGUAAUACAGAGGAUGUAAGCGUUAUCCGGAAUGAUUGGGCGUAAAGCGUCUGUAGGUGGCUUUUCACGUCCGCCGUCAAAUCCAGGGCUCAACCCUGGACAGGCGGUGGACACUACCAAGCUGGAGUACGGUAGGGGCAGAGGGAAUUUUCGGUGGAGCGGUGAAAUGCGUUGAGAUCAGAAAGAACACCAACAGCGAAAGCACUCUACUGGGCUGACGCUGACACUGAGAGACGAACGCUAGGGGAGAAAAUGGGAUUAGAUACCCGCGUAGUCCCUGUCUCUUAUACA